AGUUCUCAUAACAAGCGUUUGAUGGACGACUGUGUGCAGGAUGAGACAGAGUUCAACUGCAAGCUUAACAAGAAGGAAAUCUACACAGUGUUGUGUUAGAGCGGAGGGAGGCUUCACACUAAUGCAGAACAAGUAAAUCCCCAUUAUGUAACUGCAGUUGAUGAGUCUUUUAUCUGCUAACGGUGCUGUGAUUGUGCUGGAUUUACUCCAGGAUUUGGACAGUGGACCAGAGAGAAAAUCUCUUUUUUUCUUCCUUUUUUUUUUAUCAUGAACCUGGCUCCCCUGAGUAGAAAAACCGCUGAAGAACACACAAAGCCAAUGAGGACUGAUUGUCUUUAAAGACAUUUCCAGAUGUCCAGAUGUAUUUUAUUACAUUGGAAACGAAAGUAUUAUCAUGAGGAUCAAUUGCUUAAUUUGGUUUUAUAAAUCACAUAUACAGUGACAUAUAUAUUUAUAGUUUCUACAACAAUUGUGUCGUUUCAGCCACGUCGUUUCACAUUCAUGUAUGAUAUGUGCAAUAGGCUUUUUUUUUUCUGUAUAACAUGUGCAAUAAGCUAUUUUUUCUGUGUGACAUGUGUAAUAGGCUUUUCCUUUUCUCUUUUUUUCCUGAAAAGAAGUGCGAUGUCUUGUGCGCAAUGUAUGUGUGCAGUGUUUGCAAUAAUUUGCAGCUUUGCCAUGUGUCUCUGUUUGCAGUCCUGUUUACAGUCCCUUACUUUGUGAUUUGUGUGUGGUGUUCUUUUUUUGUUUGUUUGUUUGAUGGGUGCAUGCCUUGUUUAUUUAUUUAUUUAUUUAUUUUUUGCACUGACGAGAGAGCUGUGCCUCAAUUUUGUUGUGCUAACAUAUUUUUUUAUACUACGGUGCUAUGACAAUAAAGACUAUUCUCUAUUCUCUAUUAUAAU